UGCGGGGUCGUCUAACGGUAGGACGCCUGACUCUGGAUCAGGUAGUCUAGGUUCGAAUCCUAGCCCCGCAG
rnacentral:tRNA from 1 species